CCAUGUAUAGAUAGACAACUUGCAAAAUCGUGAUAUGACAAAAUCAAACCAGUCAGAGAGGAAAAGGCAACUAUAUUGUACAUUUUUUCUGGGUUUUUUCCUUUUCUGCUUUUUUUGAUUUU
rnacentral:ribozyme from 14 species